GUUGGCAUAGAAAUGCUAGAUUUGUGUGGGAGCAAGGUUAUUGAUGCAGACUAUGAUAGGCAUGGGUAUGAUUACAUUCAACUUUUUUGGACAUGGAUUUUAAGGCGAAGCAAGGGAUCGAUCAUGCUAAUUCACAUGCAAAUUAAUAUCAGAACCUCUACAUGAUUACCUAAUGUACAAUUUAUUUUUUUGCAGACCUACAUGUACAUUUUCUUCGUAGGAAUAAAUCC
rnacentral:lncRNA from 1 species